rnacentral:snoRNA from 1 species
AUCCCAUGAUGAGGACAGGUGGCAACAUAUUCCUGAAGCCGUUCCCACGCAUCAGGAAUGGACUCAUCCUUUGUCUGCUGGAAACUUAAAAUCCUCCCGCGAAGGGC